CCUACGGGGGGCAGCAGUCGAGAAUCAUUCACAAUGGGGGAAACCCUGGUGGUGCGACGCCGCGUGGGGGAAUGAAGGUCUUCGGAUUGUAAACCCCUGUCAUGUGGGAGCAAAUUAAAAAGAUAGUACCACAAGAGGAAGAGACGGCUAACUCUGUGCCAGCAGCCGCGGUAAUACAGAGGUCUCAAGCGUUGUUCGGAAUCACUGGGCGUAAAGCGUGCGUAGGCUGUUUCGUAAGUCGUGUGUGAAAGGCGCGGGCUCAACCCGCGGACGGCACAUGAUACUGCGAGACUAGAGUAAUGGAGGGGGAACCGGAAUUCUCGGUUUAGCAGUGAAAUGCGUAGAUAUCGAGAGGAACACUCGUGGCGAAGGCGGGUUCCUGGACAUUAACUGACGCUGAGGCACGAAGGCCAGGGGAGCGAAAGGGAUUAGAUACCCGUGUAGUC
rnacentral:rRNA from 1 species